UGCUCAAACAUAGCCCAGACCGGGUAAUGACCCAUUUUUCAAUACAUAUAAUCCGGGAUGGCGGAAUCAUCCAAACUUUUCUUGAAAGCAGCAAGCUUCGAAUACUGCCCCACCCUACUCCCAAAAUUUUCAAAACCCUCAGAAUUUUCAAACCCCACAAAAUAUUCAUCCCUAUCGUCCCUCGACUCAAUUUCAACACACUCCUCCUC
rnacentral:lncRNA from 1 species